GUUCGCGUAGCUACACUUAAAUCCAAAAUAUGCCAAAAUAUGCCAUGAAGAUCACUAAUAAACAAUGAUGAUGAAGAUCUCAUGUAGGUCUCCGAAUUGGUAUCAACCAUCCAUGAAUUUCAACCUCACAAAGUUAAAUGGUUAGUUGCAAUCAUAAUAAAUUGAAGUUUUUUUUGGACGAUUUGUACAAAAUCUAUAUAAAACAUAAUGAGUCGUUUGAAAAAGAGCCUGAGCUUAAUGGGAUUGGUUAGUGCUUGACAAUUUGUGACGUUAUGUCCUCGGCUCAAUUAUCGUUAUGUCCUCGGCUCAAUUCCUACCUGAGUAGGCGCAAUUCCUAUCAAAUUCUUCUAUCAGGAUAGAGGCCCUCUCCCUAGUUAACACAAAAAAAAUAUAAUGAGGCUCAGGUUUUUUAUGCUCAUAUAUACUCAUAAUGUGCUAGGUCUCUUCCUAGUUACUUUUUUUUGCCACAAAAAGAAAAAAAAACUACAACGAAGAACAAUAGAAAGUCUAUGAAAAUCAAUCUGAAAGUACAACAGUUAGUUAGUGCCAUGGUUAUUUGGUAUCUCUUCCUAGUUACUUUUUUUUGCCACAAAAAAAAAAAAAAACUACAACGAAGAACAAUAGAAAAUCUAUGAAAAUCAAUCUGAAAGUACAACAGUUAGUUAGUGCCAUGGUUACUUGGUAUACUCUAAAUCAUAAAAAAAAAAAAGAACAACAACGAAGAACAUGGAAAAUCGACGAAAAUAAAUCUCAAAGUACAACAGUUAGUUAGUGCCAUGGUUACUUGGUAUACUCUAAUCUCAAGUCUGGUUCAUUUGGGAUUCUUCAUCAAAGGGUCACAAUUCUUUCGUAAUAUUAAUAAUGAGGUCCUAUGGUUCAUCAAAUUAGAUUCAUAUAUUUAUUAAUAUAUUAAAUAAAUAUGCAUUUUUUAGGAUACUCUUUCGUGAUAUUUAAUAAUGAGGUCCUAUGGUUCAUCAAAUUAGAAUAAUAUAUUUAUUAAUAUAUUAAAUAAAUAUAUAUUUUUUAGGAUAUCGAUUUGAUGAGUUUUCAUUCUCCCUCCUUCAAAAUCUAUCUUAGAGAUGGAUUUGGGAUCUAUAAUUUUAAAGGUUGAUGAUAAUCUAACUUUGAAAAAAACUAAAAUUUUAAAAAGACACUUUUAAUAUUUGUUUAAACCAGAUAUUUUAGUUUUGGUAGACGCACUUCUUCUUGUUUAUCAAAAUAUUUUUCCUAUUUAUUUUGGUAUAUCAUAAUAUUCACACAUAAUUAUGAAUAUUAUAAAUUAUAUUUCUUUGAGCACUAUAAUAACCAAAUAAUAACCAAAUAUAGGUCAGCAAGUUUAAUAACUAAUUUCCUAUUUUUUAGCUUUGUUUAUAUUGAUGAUUUUUUUAUAUUGAUAAUGAUGAGCACAAUAGUGUAUAUUAGUCACAAAUUGUUCUAAACCAAAAUCAUAGUUAAUUUUGGUUACAAACUUUAUAGUACAUUAAAUUAGAGCAUAGUAACUAAAUAUGUGUAACUUUAUAGUACAUUAAAUUGGAGCAUAGUAACUAAAUAUGUAACUUCUAGAAAAAAUUGAAAAAAAAGUAUUAAAUAUUUACCUUAUCUUUGAUCCACUCCGAUGACUCAA
rnacentral:lncRNA from 1 species